CGGUCCGACACUGCACGCCUCCGCCCGCCAACGGCGACGCGAGCACAAAGGUUCCGGCCUCCGCCUGCUGACGGCGACGCAAGCAAAGAGGUUCCGCGCUCUGCCUGCCCGAACCCCUAGACGCGCACACCCGCGCCCCUCUCUCCUCCAAGCAGCUUCUUUCUGCCUAUGGAGAAAGUGAGAAAGAAAUGACACAUCCCUGCCAAUGAUUCUGUAUUGCAUCCAUGGCCCUUUAUGUCAUGGAGACACUAGUGAGUUUUUGCCUACGCGAAGGGUUGGAAGGUGGUGCCACUUCUUCCCAGCACUCACUUCGUCCACCCCAGGAGUUUCAUAAAUCACCUCGUAAAAGCUCAUUUACUGGUUUCCCCAACAUAAUGGCAGAAAUAAACUGCUCGGGACGCACUUGGCCACUCGCUCCAGGAAACGGGUCCAGCCAUCGCUGGCUCUGGCGACGGAGGAAGGGCCUGGCAUCUUGGUUUCCAGCCUGGACUCCUAUCCCCUUUGCUUGCUGACAGUAUCUCCCAGAAUUAGGGCUACCGAGUCCGCGACUUUUUAUUGAGUUGGAUGGCAAAUCACAGAAUAAAUGCUUUCCUUUGCACUUUAAAAGGAUUUAAUAGGAAAAUAUUUUUCCUACAUCCUGUUUCAAGGGGAAAAUGUGAUUUUAGGGGACAUUUUAUAGUUCACAACAGGAUAUUGAAGGGCAUUUGGUUUUGCUUAGUUUAUUAUGACUGUGUGUCUCCAGCAUGAAGUGGUGUUUUUGUGUGAUUAUUUAGAUAAGUCUGAUUGAGGUGGGUGGAUCGCCAUAGAAUUAUGGAAAUUUCGGAUUGGAAAGGGCCUCAAAUAUCAUCCAUCCAACACCCUUGUAUUUCGGAUGAGGAAGCAAGUGGCUGGCCCAGGAUCACACCUUGAGCUCAUGGGGGGAAAUGAGAACAGAUUCUUCAUCUCCCACCUGUUCAAUACUCUCAAGCCAGGUUUUUUUUUGGGGGGGGGGUGGAGUAGGGGGAGUGACAUGCAUACAAAGGGGUCCGUAUGUAUCUGUAAGUACUUUUGAAUUUGAGAAUUGGGGUAAUUAAGUGUGGACUUGAGUAUGUGUCAUCCAUUCACCCACCCAUCCUUCCUCCCAUCCAUCCACUCAUCCAUUGUCAAUCAUUCACUCACCUAUCCAUCCAUUGUCAGUCAUUCACUCAUAUUACAAACACGCUUUGUCAGUAAGUGGCCCUGUGUUAAGUACUGAAAAUAUAAAAACAGACCUAAAGUCUCCACCUGGGAACGGGUCAAAGACUAACGGGGCAGACAGAUGUAUUCAGAGACCAUCAUAAUGGACCAUAACAGGUGCACAAGCAGAGUUUGUCGUUGUUAGACGUCCCUGGAGAAUUAAAUUAAAAAACCACUUUAUGAAUCACCCACCUACUCUCCAUAGAUAGGAAAAGACCAUGAAUUAGAAAGGGGUCUUGACCCCAGAAAUAAGGGGAUUCUUGUGGUCCUUUCCAGCCCUUUCAGCCACCCCAGCCUUGACGGGAAUCUGGGGCGGAACCAGGGCCUAGCCCGGCGUGGGGGCCAGGGGGGCUCCAAGUCGGACAGCCCUGCGUUGGAAUCCCAGUCACUUAUUAGGAGUGAGACCUUUGGAAGGUAUUUCUUCAUCCAUGAACUAAAGAUAAAAACAUCCACCCAGCAGGGUUGUCGUGGGCGUUCAUGAGAGGACCUGCAGAGCGUGGAGCAGCUCUGGCGCUGAGCCGGUCCUACAAAUGGAACCACGGCCCCGAGGGUGUUGAGGACGGGAACAGGUUACACGUCACAGCUGGAGGCGGUGGCAGUCUUCCUCACACACGGGAAGGAGCCUCGUUUUACUUCCGGUCCCCACGUCACCCAGGAACGUGGGGCUCACGAGGGAGGCGGAGACAGGGCCUGGGUGAGUGUCAGGAUGACAGGAAGCACUCAGUAAUCGGCUGCCGUGGUUUGGGCCAGUCUCCGAGGGUUUCUGCGAGGAGGAGCAUUCAUUCUGGAGACAAGGCCCGGGUGGAUGAAAUAGGGCCCUCCCGUGGACCAGGGGGUGGGGAGCAGUGUCCCCUGUUCUGCUCUGGACUCGCUGAGAGGAACCGGCUUACCCUGGCGCCUGGGGGAUCCAGGCUCCACGGUAGAAGAAAGUCCUGGAGGCUGUGGCGUUGGACUUUGGGAUGAGCCACCAGGAUGUCCAGUAGCGGACAGGGUCUCUUCCGGCCCCGCAUCUUUACGUGUAGGAGCGCUCGCUGGCUGCGGGCAGGGACGGCACCGCUCGCAAGCUCUUUCCUAACCGGGGCGCCCGUGAUCCUGGCAGAACCCUCCAACUCAGGGCCAGGAGGCUCCGCCAGAGGAAACCGCCGCCCCAGACAGCAGCUGGCAGUUCCCUCUGGCCGUGCCCAGGUUGGGCAUUCCGCAGAUGCCACCAGGGCUGCGGAGCUCCUCCAGCGACCACGCGCGCCUCCCCUCCUUGAAAUUUAUUAAGAAAUUCUCUGCGGGGCCUCUUUCACCAAAAGUGCACUUAAUAAAGCUUGGAAUUUCCUCGC